AGUGAACGCUGGCGGUAGGCCUAACACAUGCAAGUCGAACGGCAGCACAGUAAGAGCUUGCUCUUACGGGUGGCGAGUGGCGGACGGGUGAGGAAUACAUCGGAAUCUACUUUUUCGUGGGGGAUAACGUAGGGAAACUUACGCUAAUACCGCAUACGACCUACGGGUGAAAGCAGUGGAUCUUCGGACCUUGCGCGAUUGAAUGAGCCGAUGUCGGAUUAGCUAGUUGGCGGGGUAAAGUCCCACCAAGGCGACGAUCCGUAGCUGGUCUGAGAGGAUGAUCAGCCACACUGGAACUGAGACACGGUCCAGACUCCUACGGGAGGCAGCAGUGGGGAAUAUUGGACAAUGGGCGAAAGCCUGAUCCAGCCAUACCGCGUGGGUGAAGAAGGUCUUCGGGUCGUAAAGCCCUUUUGUUGGGAAAGAAAAGCAGCAGGUUAAUACCUCGCUGUUCUGACGGUACCCAAAGAAUAAGCGCCGGCUAACUUCGUG
rnacentral:rRNA from 1 species